CAGUGAGGCCUUCGGACUGGCCCAGGGAGGUCGGCAACGACCACCCAGGGCCGGAAAGUUCGUCAAACUUGGUCAUUUAGAGGAAGCUAAAGUCGUAACAAGGUCUCCGUAGGUGAACCUGCGGAGGGAUCAUU
rnacentral:rRNA from 1 species